GGAACUAGAUGUGGGGACCAUUCCACGGUCUCCGUGUCGCAGCUAACGCAUUAAGUUCCCCGCCUGGGGAGUACGGCCGCAAGGCUAAAACUCAAAGGAAUUGACGGGGGCCCGCACAAGCGGCGGAGCAUGCGGAUUAAUUCGAUGCAACGCGAAGAACCUUACCAAGGCUUGACAUAUACCGGAAACAUGCAGAGAUGUGUGCCCCGCAAGGUCGGUAUACAGGUGGUGCAUGGUUGUCGUCAGCUCGUGUCGUGAGAUGUUGGGUUAAGUCCCGCAACGAGCGCAACCCUCGUUCUAUGUUGCCAGCACGUAAUGGUGGGAACUCAUAGGAGACUGCCGGGGUCAACUCGGAGGAAGGUGGGGAUGACGUCAAAUCAUCAUGCCCCUUAUGUCUUGGGCUUCACGCAUGCUACAAUGGCCGGUACAAAGGGCUGCGAUACCGUAAGGUGGAGCGAAUCCCAAAAAGCCGGUCUCAGUUCGGAUUGAGGUCUGCAACUCGACCUCAUGAAGUCGGAGUCGCUAGUAAUCGCAGAUCAGCAACGCUGCGGUGAAUACGUUCCCGGGCCUUGUACACACCGCCCGUCAAGUCAUGAAAGUCGGUAACACCCGAAGCCAGUGGCCUAACCGCAAGGGAGGAGCUGUCGAAGGUGGGA
rnacentral:rRNA from 1 species